GGGGAGGGAAAGGAAGCACAGGAUCAUCUGUGCUGCAGAUCACAGAAUCAUAAAGGUGAUUCCACCUCUUCCCUACAGAGAGGGGGGAUCCUUGCCUGGGACCUCCAGCAGGCAGCACCACUGGGAAAUGGGAACUCCCCAAACUCUCCCCAAAAACAACUUCUGAAAAAGAGAGGACAAAUUAUGGCGUGUGAUGAGCUAUAUACCCUCAUAGUCAACCUCUCUUCAAGGCAAACCUUGGU